rnacentral:lncRNA from 1 species
UGAUUUAGAGCAAGCGAGAAUUCAUCAUUCACGCUCGCAUGAGUCAUGAUCCAUGUGACAUGCCAAAUAAAUAUGCAAUAUGUCACACUAAGAGUUGAAAUAAGCACUGGCUCUACAAGCCCAAGCUAAUUAUCCCGUCAAGCGUCAUAUCCCUCUUCAAAGCGAUAAAAUUCAAGCCUGCCAAUUGACAUGCAAUACCAAGCAGAAAAACCCUUAUUUUGCACAUAGCCGCACUACAAGCUUAAGUGGGCCCAAGCCACGCAAAUGCCCCGGCUUGCUGAGUGGGUUGUGGUAUGGAUAGUAACGAAUUUUCAUGAGGCCCAUUGAUGAGCCGAGAAGUGGAAGUUUUGGGAUGCUUGAGAGCCCCAAAACUCAAGCCUAUUUCUUGAGCCCAAAUAUGUGGGUAAGCAUAAAGGAGAGAAAAAGGGGAGCCCAAUACUCUAGAAAAAUUAGUCCAUCACUUUAGGAAAUAAACCUAUUUCCUUAAUCAGCUAACCCAUCACCUUAGGAAGGCCCAAGCAACCAAGGAAAAUAUUUGCAGUCUCCAGCACUUAGCUUGAAACAAGGGCCACGAUAAAAGCCAAAAUUGUCCAUGUAUGUAAGCUGCUGGGAGGCUCCAGC